GAUGAACGCUGGCGGCGUGCUUAACACAUGCAAGUCGAACGAAGCACUUUAUUUGAUUUCCUUCGGGACUGAUUAUUUUGUGACUGAGUGGCGGACGGGUGGGUAACGCGUGGGUAACCUGCCUUGUACAGGGGGAUAACAGUUGGAAACGGCUGCUAAUACCGCAUAAGCGCACGGCAUCGCAUGAUGCAGUGUGAAAAACUCCGGUGGUAUAAGAUGGACCCGCGUUGGAUUAGCUAGUUGGUGAGGUAACGGCCCACCAAGGCGACGAUCCAUAGCCGACCUGAGAGGGUGACCGGCCACAUUGGGACUGAGACACGGCCCAAACUCCUACGGGAGGCAGCAGUGGGGAAUAUUGCACAAUGGGCGAAAGCCUGAUGCAGCGACGCCGCGUGAGCGAAGAAGUAUUUCGGUAUGUAAAGCUCUAUCAGCAGGGAAGAUAAUGACGGUACCUGACUAAGAAGCACCGGCUAAAUACGUG
rnacentral:rRNA from 1 species